ACCCAGACUCCUACGGGAGGCAGCAGUGGGGGAUAUUGCACAAUGGGGGGAACCCUGAUGCAGCGACGCCGCGUGGGUGAUGGAGCGCCUCGGCGCGUAAAGCCCUCUCAGCAGGGAAGAAGAUGACGGUACCUGACUAAGAAGCCCCGGCUAAAUACGUGCCAGCAGCCGCGGUAAUACGUAGGUGGCAAGCGUUGUCCGGAUUUACUGGGUGUAAAGGGAGCGUAGACGGCAGUGCAAGUCUGAAGUGAAAGGCAAGGGCUCAACCCUUGGACUGCUUUGGAAACUGUGCUGCUGGAGUGUCGGAGAGGCAAGUGGAAUUCCUAGUGUAGCGGUGAAAUGCGUAGAUAUUAGGAGGAACACCAGUGGCGAAGGCGGCUUGCUGGACGAUGACUGACGUUGAGGCUCGAAAGCGUGGGGAGCAAACAGGAUUAGAUACCCCAGUAGGA
rnacentral:rRNA from 1 species